GAAAUACAAUGAGGCAUAGGUCCUCUAUGGAUACUCUUGUGUGUCUUCAUCUAUGAAGCUUCAUGCUCAGGAUGCCGGAAGGUUUCUAGCCUUCCUCCUUCCUUUCUUCUUUUUUCUCCUCUUCCUCCUUCCUCUUCUUCUUUUCUUCUCCCUAUUCCUCUCCAUCCCCCUUUCCUUCUAUCCACUCAUCCUCCUCCUCUUCCUCCUCUUCUGCCAAGUGGAGCUCCAAAGAAGAUUGUCUUCUCAACUCUAACAGGAUGGCUUUACAGGAUCCAGAGUCCUGUUAGCUGAACACUGGGAAUACAGGAGAAAACUCAAAAGUUGAUAUCCAAGGUGGUGUGUGUUACAUGGCAAUCACAGAAUUAAGACACAUAGUUUAAGAAAACUCAACUUUCAUUUCAUUCCAGUAAGGCAGCAGUGUUCCGAGAUGACUGGGUCAUGAGAGUUCCAACUUCAUUCGGGGACUCAUCCGCUUAAUGACCAUGAGGAGAUGGUGGAGACUUCAGCUGGGAAAAGGAAAUUUUACCUCUGCCAUGGUGAGCAGGCUUCAAUGAAGCGUUCUUCACUCUUCAAGGUAGGUAGCAGAGAAAGGCUCAUAAGAGUCACUUUUGGAUUUAAUCUAGAGGGGGAAAACAGUUAGAGUUGG